rnacentral:tRNA from 1 species
GAUAAGAUGCCUGAGCUAAUAGGACUAUUUUGAUAGAAUAGAACAUGUAUUGAGAAUACUCUUAUUA